ACACACACACACACACACACACACACACACACACACACCCUCAAAUUUAUUGGGGAAGAGUUUAAAGAAACUGAACAAGUGCUCUAAGAGGAUGAAAAGGGACCUAAUAAUUUACUCCCUAGCAGUCUGUCAGAGGGCAUAAAUCAAUGACACUCAUCCCAGCGCAGCGUCUUUCUUGCAUUGAACCCCCCAGCACCAUUACCCGUGUCACAGCAAAAACAAGGAAAUGACUAGUUCACAACAGCCAGGGCUGAGGACAUUUAUCUUAGUCAUUAGUGCACAGGAAGGUGACAUUAUAUAAGAUCAGAUAGCUGUGUACUCAGAAAUCUGAAAAUCAAUUUCCUCGGAUGCAUGAAAUAGAACCUUGAUAAGCAUCUAUUGCAUUUCUGGUACUCAGUAUUUAUCCUGGACUCAAAAUUACAUUCGCUUUCUUGAGGGAAGAGUUUCUCCAUUCCCUACUCAUAAUAAUCCCGAUUCAUUCUGACUCCUUUCUGCAACUCUCCAACCCACCCCCAACACCCUCAUUCACCCACCAUUCACCCCUAUUGCUGCCAUUUCCCACCUUACUAUAUUUUUCCUGAUGAGAAUAAACUUGACCUGGACAAUUUAAAUUGGAAUUUCUUUAGGAAGAUACAAACCCUAGUGAGUCAGGAUACUACUCUUUUUACUGCUGCUUCGUGAAUUCAUUUGUUCCCAUUACUUUAUUUUAGAAACUGGCUUAGUGGUUUAAUUCAAAAUUGUAUGUUGGGAGUUCCCGUCUUCUAUUCAUAAAAAAAAUUAUCUUAGGGUUGAAUUUUUUAUUGUUUAGUCCUUUGCUAUAUAUGGAAUGUAUUCUUAUAGGCCAUGGAAACUCUCCAUGUACCCAAUAUACCAUGUGUCCUAGGCCAUGCCAGGCUGCCUUUUUUCUGUAAUGAAGCCAUAUUUCAUUCCCCCAUAAUGGCAGAUCCAUAUCCAGGCUUUGGUGAAGUUUUUUGUUUUGUUUUGGAAGUGGUGUGCUAUUUAGCAAGUCCCCGUCUCCUAUUCUAUCUUAAGAAUAGUAGACCGAGAAAACUGAUAAGAAAUUUUUUAUUUUUUAUUUUUUGCAAGAGGCUUUUGCUAUAGUCUGAUUUUUGGACUUUAUUAAAAUUAUUAUAGUCCUUUUCAGAUUCUUUUUCUGUAUAGGUCACUACACUAUAUUAAGUAGAUUUCCCUGUGCUAUACAGUAGGUCCUUGUUACUCAUCCAUUCCAUACAUAGUAGUGUGUAUAUAUCAAUCCCACCCCCCAUUUUAUUCCUCCCUCCACCAUUUUCCCUUGGUAGCCAUAAGUUUGGUUUCUAAAUCUUUUGAGUGUGAUUCUGUUUCAUUAACAAGAUCCCCUGUAUCAUUCUUUGUUAGAUUCCACAUAUUAGUGAUCUCAUGUGUUUGUCUUUCUUUGUGUGACUUACUUCACUCAGUAGGAUAAUCUCUAGGUCCAUUCGUGGUGCCGUAAAUGGCAUUAUUUCAUUCUUUUUUAUGACUGAGUAACAUUCCAUUGUAUAUAUGUACCACAUCCUCUUUAUCCAUUCCUCUGUCAUUGAACAUUUAGAUUGCUUCCAUGUCUUGGCUAUUGUAAAUAAUGCUGUAAUGAACAUUGGAAUGCAUGUAUCUUUUUGAACUAUGGUUUUCUCCAGAUAUAUGCUUUGAACUAGACAUUUUAAUAUGAAAAAAAAAAUUGUCUGAGGAGAUCUGGAACUUCACUGUCCCUCCUUAGCUAACUAGAGAACUGUGGCAGUGGAAUCAAGUUUCUUGAACCAUGGCAACUUUAAAAAAAAAUGCAUCUUAGUGUCUGAAAGAGUUAAGCAUCCAAAGAUGCCUAAUUUACUCCCUAGGAGUAGUUUGGGCCCUGGGAGAAUUUUGACUCAUUAUAGUUUUUAACUUUCUGUCUGAAGGAGCAAUUCACAUGGAGGCAGAGAGAACAGAGCCUUCAUUAUAGCAGAAACGUGCAUUGUGAGCCCCCUUUAUGUCUGGCGGAGGCCAUGAGAAAGAGAGAGCAGUUCUAAAUUAUGCUUCUCACAAUGCAUCCCAAAGAGAACAUGGCAAAUGAAUUCAAUUCUUUUAAACCAAAUUGAAUAUCUCAAGGAAAGUAAAUCUGAACCAACCUACUUUUAUGUGGUCCUUUUCCAUAAUGUCACUGCAUUCCCAUUAUUUGAAUAGGGUUAGAUCAAAUUUAAGAUAAAACACCUUAACACAAAUUUGUAGAAUGAUUUUUUAAAAGAGAGAAAGAGACUUGUUUUAGGAUGGAGAGAUUUCCUGUAUUUGAAUAUUGCUUGUAUUCAUAAUGUUUCACUGUCCAGCAGUGGUGCUUUUUGUCAUUAAAAUAAAACUGAGAAAAUUGAAGUUCUGCAAAGACCUCACAGAACCUGGUAAGGUGUUAUCAGAUGUCCGCAUUUGAAAAUACAGAGCAGACUAAGGAUAAAGCUCUUUUUUCUUAUACACCUCAAAAUUACUGAUAAUAAUUGAAAUUCUAGGGAGAUGUAUAUUUUUCAGAUAAUGAAUUUGGCAUCAAAUCUGCAUGCAUGCACACACGCACGUGCACACACACACACACAACCAGUCAAGACAGACUCACGUGAGUUUUGUCAAUGAGAGGAUAGGAAUUGUUGCCCUUUAGAAUAAAUUAUUUCUGGGGGGAAGAUUACUAUGUAGACUAUGAUAACUCAAAUAUGUAAACAAAAUUUAUGAAUGAAUUCUAAUGGGAGAUUUUAUGAAAGUGUUUCAUUCAUCCUUAUUUUGGAGUCAAUAUUUUUAUUUUAUUUUCUCUUUUAAAUUAAUAUGCAAACAAUCCUUUUAAGAAGGAGUAUAUAGUAUUUACUUAUUUAUUGAAGCAAAAAUAUGUAUCGAGAAUUUACUGAGCAUUAGGUACUAUCCUAGAUAUAUAAUGAAAGCAUGGAUUAAAAAAAAAACAAAAAAAACACUGCCACUGUCUUUGGAAUCCUACAUUCCAGCAGAACCAUAAGAUACAGUGAACUGAGGAAUAAUAUGAGUGCUUUCAUGGCUAAUGUACAAAUAGCUGUAGAAGUGACUGAUUCUGCCUCCAAAGGUUAGGCACAAAGGAAAGCUUCCACUGGGGUUGGGGCAGGAGUGGUGGUAUUUAAACCAAACUUUGAAGGGUGAAACUUGGUACCUGAGGAAUGUUGGUACAUGAAUAGCAACCAAAAGGCAGAGUUAGAAGGGGCUUGAUUUAGUACAAAGCCAGGAGCCAGCAAUGGCUGUCAUGGAGGUAAAUGCAGAGCCUAAGGAGAGGGAAGAAAGAGGGGAGGGGCAGUCAGAUGAGAAAUGUCUGUUCGAUAUGCCUGGCUGCUCUACUGUCUUUUAUUACACCCAGUAUUUAUAUAGGACCCCCAUAAAGGUGAAUGGAGGUGUCUGGCAAGUCCCUAGGACCAGUGGGAGAGAAAGGCAAUCCAGGCAGAGGGAAUAGCCUACGCAAAGGCUUAACUGUGCAGCAUAAUUGGGAAAGGCAAGUGGUAAUGGUGGCUUAAGUGUGGAGCAUGGCCUGAGGUACAGUGCCAUAGCCCUUCCUAUUGGAAGACCUGUCUGUGAGAGGAACCAUCCCCUCUGUGUUUCAGGACCUCCAUGGGGCCUGUGAGAGAUGCAAGACCCUAAUAGAGUCUGUACUUCUCAAAAAGAGCCACCCUGUUAUUGAUGGCACUGCUACCGUAAGAACUUUGUUGACUUUCAUGCUUCCCAAGCAGAUAUUUCACAGAGAAUCAAAGACAUCUGCCAAAACCUGGUGCUUAAAAAUUGGGUGGAACUGUAGUUGGUAUGUCAUAUAGCCUUAAAAUUGUGCAAUCUGUGAAAAAUUCACAAGGUGGCCUAGAAAAUAGGUGAGACAGGUGAUGAAGAGAUACUAAGGUACAUUUAUGAAAGGGUCCCUUGGUAGAGAAAAUAAAAAUGCAAGCAUUGUGAGUUGAAGUGAGCAUGGACUUUCAUAUGAAUUUGAGUCAAAUGUCUGCAUAGUUUAGUACUAAUCAAUCUUUGAAAGGACAAGAAAAAAAAGAACAUUAUUAUAUGCUGAUAGGUUUCAGAGUAAUAUAAAAUGAUGUGGGAAUUCAUUUUUCAUAAGAGAAAUGAGGAUUACUGAUCCAUUACUUGUAACAGGAAUGAAUCCAGUCCUUGCCGUGCCUCUGAUAGGUCAUGUGACCUUGAGAAACUUCUUUAACCACCUUUAACCUCUGUGUCUUUAUUUUUUAAAUGGAAAUAAUACUACCUGCCUUUCAACUUAAUUGAUUACUAUGAAAAUUAAAAGAUGCCACAUGGGAAGUUCCCAUUGUGGCUCAACAGCAACGAAUCCGACUAGUAUCCAUGAGAAUGUGCGUUCGAUCCAUGGCCUCACUCAGUGGGUUAAGGAUCCAGCAUUUCUGUGAGCUGCAGUGUAGGCCACAGAAUGUAGGCCACACUUUGUUCCCACAUUCCUGUGGCUAUGGCAUAGGCCGGCAGCUGCAGCUCCAAUUCAACCUCUAGCCUGGAAACUUCCAUAUGCCAUACAUAGGUGCAGCCCUAAAGAAAGCAAAAAAAUAAAUAAAUAAAAGAUGCCACAUGGAUAGAAGUCUAGAGUAAACUGUAACGUACAUAUUAAAGACAUUAUCAUAAUAUAACUUUAAAGUUUCCAAUAUGGAGUUUAUUUGAAAAUGAAUAACUAGGAAUUAGAGUAGAACAAAAAUGCAAGGGAGGUGUUUGGUAGGGGUGGACAGAAUCAGAAAGAAGCUUUUUCUGUAAACUAAUAAUCAAAGGACUGAAAGCUUCUCUAAGAAAAGAUGUCUUCUUGUGAGAGAAUGAGUCAUCUGGUUCAUGAAUAGGUAAGUCUUAAUAAAGGGAAGGCAAAUCUGGUCUCAUGUAGUUAUUGUCAACAGCAAAGCUGUUGUAAAAACAAAACCAUGGGUAUGGCUUCUGUGUACCUCCCUUGUUUGUUAGCUGACAGCACAAAUGCUGAGGUGACAGGACAGGGCAGGUUAAUAGAUGACACCUUGGAGUAAACACAUACCCAGAACUUUUCACUGCCAAAUAGUGCAUGACUGGACAAAUGUAAAUAUCUGGACCCAGAGGAACCCUCCCUGCCUGUCUAAAGAUGCUCAAUGCAAACAUUGUAAGGAGCCCCAGGGACCAUUAAGCUUCUCCUUUCUUUCAAAUUUAUGAGCAUGUAGCCUUAAAGCUUAGAUUUCAGCAGAGCAUCAGCAGUAUCUUGUAAAGGAAGAAUGUCAUUUGAAAAUUUUACAUAUAGUGGUAUUCACUUUUUCUAGUGCACAGUUCUGAGUUUUAAUAAAUGCAGAGAUCUUUGGAGUUGCCAUUGUGGCACAGCAGAAAUGAAUCUGAUUAGUAUCCAUGAGGGCGUGGGUUCGAUCCCCGGCCUUGCUCAGUGGGUGGGUUUCCAGCAUUGCUAUGAGCUGUAGUGUGGGUUGCACAUGUGGCUUAGAUCUGGUGUUGCUGUGGCUGUGGCAUAGGCUGGCAGCUGUAGUUCUGUUUCAACCCCUAGCCUGGGGACCUCCAUAUGUUGUGGGUAGAGCCCUAAAAAGCAAAACAAAACAAAACAACCCUCCCAAAAAAUGCAAAGAUAUUGUAACUACCAUAAUAAACAGACCCCCUACCCCUAACUCCUGGUAACCACUGAUCUGUUCUCUGUUCCUAGAGUGCUGCCUUUUUCAGAAUGUCCAGUUAUUCACUUUGCAGUUUUUGGCUGAUUUAGGUUUUGAGUUAUGGCAAGCUGUUAUAGAAGUGCACCUAGACCAAGCCAUCAAAAGAAAGCUAAUUCAAAUUCCAUUGGGGAUGGGUUUAGUUUUAGAGAAGCAUGUGCUUUCUCUUCAUUCUUUGUUACUGAUGUUUGACGGGAUUGUCUUCUCAUAAAUGCUUUUUGCAUUGGGCUUUUCUUUGGGGCAUCAGGAACUUUCUAUCACUGACAUAGCAAAACAUUAUUCCACAAUCUCUUACUGACCACUUGUUUAUAAAUCAGGAUGUGGUGCCCAGUACUGGUGAUUCAGAGGUGAGGGGCCUUCAUCUCUGAUAUCAGGAGGCAAGAACUUCUCCAUCCACUAUUCCCUGGUGCCACAUGUGUGCUAUGAAAUUCUCAGUUCUUUUCAAACAAUAUCUGGCUUAUUUUCAUCUUUAUGGAUUCAGUAUUUGAGCAUGUGCUAUAUGCCCGGCACCGUUCUUAACACUUAGAAUAAAACAGUGAUCCAAACAAAAAUUCCUGUCCUAAUAGAAUUUAAAGUCCAGCUGGCAAGGACAAAUAAUAAACCAUUCAUAUAAGAAAUAAGUAAAUUAAGUGGUUUGUUAG
ensembl:lncRNA